rnacentral:misc_RNA from 1 species
GAUGAAGAACGCAGCGAAAUGCGAUAAGUAAUGUGAAUUGCAGAAUUCAGUGAAUCAUCGAAUCUUUGAACGCACAUUGCGCCCGCCAGUAUUCUGGCGGGCAUGCCUGUCUGAGCGUCAUUUCAACCCUCAAGCAACUUCUGCUUGGUGUUGGGGAUCGGCCGUUAAACGCCGCCCCCGAAAUCUAUUGGCGAUCUCGCUGUAGCUUCCUAUGCGUAGUAGUAACAUCUCGCAUCUGGAGAGCGGCGCGGUCAUGCCGUAAAACACCCAACUUCUCAGGUUGACCUCAGAUCAGGUAGGAAUACCCGCUGAACUUAAGCAUAUCAAUAAGCGGAGGA